CCUAGGCGGGGUUUGUGACUGUUGCUAUACUUUAGUGCUGAAGCAGUUAUUACUAUAGUUCUUGGCUCAUAGUUACGUGCUACCGCCAAGCGUAAAAUUUGCUGUGAUAAAGUUCGAAGGCAGCAGGAGAGCGGAGAGCAUAGUAGUGUAUAGUCUUUGGAGCGGCACAGACCUGGGUUCAAGUCUCAGCUACACCCCUGAACAGCCACGGAAUGCUGAGCCUGUCACACGACCUCUCUGAGCCUCAGGUUACUCAGUAAGAAACGGGGAUAAUAAAAACUACUUUACAGGUUUGUUAUUAGAAUUAGAUGAAGGAAGGGCUGUGAAACUCUUAGCGCAGUGUCUAGAAAAUAAUAUGUACUUAAUCAAUGAUAGAUUCUGUUCCUAGACAUUUAUUUUUGGAGCAAUUUAUAUCAGAGUUUGGUCUAGAACAACAUAUUUGUUUCCUUAAAGAUGGCGUAGGCUGUUCAUAUUUAUAAAUGCAAAUUUAUAUUUGUAAAUGAGAAUAAGAAGGGUUAGAACGAUUUGUGGUUUGCAUAUCUACAAGUGGUUUCAGAGGGAAGCUGAGAACAUGGGCACAAGAGGCUGCUGGUUUCUGAGUAUGGGACAAACGUGCCUCCCGAGGGCGCGGGUCCCCAGGGCUCUGCGCUGGUGACGGGGGCCGGAUGGAUCAGCCCCUGACUGAGCGGGCGUUCCUUAGGCGUUCAUGCGUAAUUCAGGCGAGAACACUCACGUGUGUCUCAGGAAUGUGCUCGAGGAACAGGAGGAAACUGGUGGAGAGAGGCGGUGAAGGCCUCUGUCCUAGGUUAACACCCUCCUUCAUCACUGCUCACACUCACAGGAAAGGCCGUCGGCGGCGGGGGACGGCCUCGCAGUGACCGCUGGCCGCGCCGCCUGUGCAUCCCAGCAGCCGUCUGCGCUCCGCCCCACGUCCCGCACACCGCUCGCGGCACCGCCACUCCCCCCAAAGCCUCUGCGCUCCCCUUCGCCCGUGAAACCUGCUCUCCGAUGGGACCGCUGGUUUACCCUGAGUGCCAGCCAGAUGACACCAUGAGGAGCCAUCCUUUCCGCGGGGAUCGAAAGUUCUAUCAGGGAUCCAAACCUCCAACCAAAGCGAAGAGGCUCUGAUGGGAGAACUUCAGGGCUCCGUCUGUGAGCAGGGGAGGAGGGGGACUCUGUGUCACGGCCCCACCCAGCAGCUGACCCUGACACACAGCCUGGAGCUGUCCUAGUGAAGCUCUGACUGGACGACAAGCUUCGCCUCAGGGCUCGUGAGAAACCCAUUUCCCCGACGACUGCGCUUGACUGUGGGGCGCGCGCGCCAGGGAAGCCCUCCCGCCACCACCACCACCUCCAGCCCGCAGCCUUUGCAAGUUUUCAGGAGGACACUACGACUUUAGCUUCUAGGAAGCCCUCGUGUGGCUGGCUGCCUCACGACCUUGGAAGGACCCUCCCGCUGCUCCUGUGCCUGGAGCGCCGGGCUCCGCAGUCCUACAGAGGCGUUCCAUCCGCGCUCCGCCCGCGUCCAGUCGUCCCAUCUGUGUGGGGGGCAGCUGUUCUGUGCCAGGCCGGGCUGCCAGCCUCAGCAGGCGGCGAGGCCCCGAGCCUGCUGAGCAUCGCAUCGUUCAUUCCAACGGGGCUGGGGUCCAGCAGAAGCAUGGACCACGGAGAAUCCCCAUGUGGCCCAGGGAGUCUGGGUGGGCUUUCCUGAGUGGGUGGCGGGACUGUGAGUACCCACCUUCUUGUUAAGCCUGGUGAAUUUUGCUCCCCUUACAAAGAGUGAAGGUUAUGGAACUUAGAAAAUUUUGCAGCAACAGGAAGCCAGAAGCCCCACACAGCGGGAUGAACUACCAGCUCCAGAAGGACUGGCCUGUAAAAUGAUAAGGGAGUGGAACUGUGUAACUUAGCCAACGGGUGGUAGCAGGUGGCUGUGGCCUCUUCUGUGGGACUGGCUACCUGGAUGAACAUUCUCUACUCUUGUCAUGAUAUCUUUGUCCAAGAAUUCUUGGUUCCUUCCACCACACUGCAUGAAAAAGCCAAAUGACUGUAAGAUUUCUCAGUUAUAGCUCUCAACUGAGCCUUAAUUAUUCAUACGUGCUGGAUUAAUUAUUCAAGACCAUGAAUUGGCACGUGCAGGGGGGCGGUUACUAGUAAACAGGAGGCUGUGUGAACGGCGUUUGGCGGGAGAGACAAGGCCCGCUGUCUCCUGGGUGAUUCAAUCCGUGGAUGGGCAGAGGCGUUCGUGCAGGGGUGACUUACACGGACUUCGGCGCGGCUCUCUGCUGGUGUGAGGAGUGGCCUUGCCGAUCCUUUCCGGACAGGGAGGAGAGCCGUGGUGAGACUCCGUCCUCAGCGCGUGGCUCCUGGGGCCAGAUUGUAUGUGAUCUCAAAUGGGUGGUAGCUCUGCCGAGAUUUCUUACGUUUGCAUUCUUGAUCGUUUGCUGUGAAAUGUGCUCGUGAGCAGUCAUGAAACAGAUCUUUGGCACAAAUUCUUGUUCCAGUGUAGAGUGCGUGACGUUGAAAGCUGGCAGAACUGAGGACAAGGAACUCAAUCCCAAAACGAAUGUGGACUCCUUCCGCUGACGGGGUGGCCGGGGUCUUCUGCGAUAUCCCGGCGGGAUGGGUGGCCGGAGCAGCCUCUCCCCUGCCCGGCUUCACCUCCUCACCCGGCAGAGCCCUUGAGCCCCUGUCAGUGGAGGCUGCUCGUUCCCCUACAGCGUGUACCCAGGUUUGCAGUUAGCUCCAGCAGACGCUACACUCCCGCCCCCGCUGCGAGGAGGCUGGCUCCCCUCCCCCUCCACGGUCAUGCCUGUCCUCCAGGGCCGUCCAUCUUCCUCCGCAUCCCUCUCCUCUCCUCCCUGGCGUGGAUGUUAACCAUGUAGCCUUAGCUCCUGGAUCUUUCCCUCGGUAACAUUUUCUUCUGUGCCCCCUCAGCCACCCAUUCCCAUGGCCACACUCUAGACUUUAAUGAUCUGAAACUGUACCAGCUCCAAAAUAAUAAAACCAAACGCCAACAUCUGGCCGCAACCUCCUAUUCUUUCUAGCUCACUGGCUUAUUGAUUCUCACUGUUAAAAAAAAAUUAUUGUCGUAAAAUAUAUACAACAGAAAAUUUACCAUUUAAACCAUUUUUGAACCAUUUUAAAGAGAUCUAAGGCACUAUAUAGUUAAUAUAGACAAUAACAUUGUACUAUAAUUAUGUAAUGUGAUAAAUCUCGCUACAUUGGUAAUCAUAUUACAAUAUAUAAUGCAUAAACGUAUCAAAAUAACACGCCUUAAACUUACACAACGUUACAUAUCAAAUCCAUUCAAUAAAAAAUUUAGGGGCCGGCCCCCUGGUGGAGCAGUUUGAGUGCUCCGCUUUGGCUGCCCAGCGUUUCGCUGGUUCGAAUCCCAGGGCGGCCAUGGCACCCCCCAUCAGGCUAAGGUGAGGCAGCGUCCCACAUAGCACAGUCAGAGGCGCUCAUAACUAGAAUAUACAACUAUGUACUGGGGGGCUUUGGGGAGAAGAAGAAGAAAGAAUGUGUUAAAUAAACCAUUGUUAGGUGUCAAGUUCAGCAGCAUUCAGUAUAAUCACACUACUGUGCAACCAUCACAACCAACCACGUCCAGAACUCUUCAUCUUGCAAACUGAUGCUCUGUCUCCAGUAAACACUAACUCCCGGUUGCCCCUGCGCCCCAAGCCUUGGAAACCCCCAUCCUGCUUUCUGUCUCUAUGAAUUUGAUUACUCUAGGGACCUCAUAUAAGUGGAAUCAUACAGUGUUUGUCCUUUUAACGUCUGGCUUAUUUCACUUAGCAAAAUGUCUUCAAGGUUCAUCCAAGUUGCAGCAUGUGUCAGAACUCCCUUCCUUUUUCAGGCUGAAGAAUAUUCCAUUAUAUGCAUGUGCCCCCAUUUUGUUUGUCCAUUCAUCAGUUGAUGGACACGGGUUGCUUCUACUUCUUGGCUAUUGUGAGUAAUGCUCCUAUGAACAUGAGUGUACAUGUACCUGUCUGAAUCUCUGCUUUCAGUUAUUUUGGGUACAUACCUGGGAGUGGAAUUGCUAGGUCAUAUGGUAAUUCUAUGUUUAACUUUUUGAGGAAGAAAAUUUUCUGUUUAACUUUUUCCUGCUUUUACACAGCCAUUUUGCAUUCUCACCAAUAAUGCACAAGGGUUCCAAUCUGUCCACAUCCUCACCAACACUUGUUAUUUUCCCUUUAUUUUUUCUGGUUUUAAUAAUAGCCACCCUAAUGGUUUUGAUUUGCGUUUCCCUAAUGGCUAGUGAGGUUGAGCAUCUUUUCAUGUGCUUACUGGCCAUUGCUUGUAUAUCUUCUUUGGCUAUUUUUUAAUUGGGUUUCUUUUUGUUGUUGUUGGAUUGUAGGGUUUUUAAAAAUAUAUUCUGGAUAUUAAUCCCUUAUCAGAUAUAUGAUUUUCAAUAUUUUCUCCCAUUCUGUGGGUUCCUUUUCACUUUGUUGACAGUAUCCUUGGAUGUACCAAAAUUUUUCAUUUUGAUCAAGUCCUAGUUAUCUACUUUUAUUUUGUUGCCUGUGCUUUUGGUGUCAUAUCCAAGAAAUCAUUGCUAAAUCCAAUGUCACGAAGCUUUUCCCCUGUGUUUUCUUCUGAGUUUUAUAGUUUAGCUCUUAUGUUUAGGUCUUUAAUCCAUGUUGAGUUGAUUUUUGUAGACGGUGUAAGGUAAGGGUUCAAUUUCAUUCUUUUGCAUGAAUACUCAGUUUUCUCAGCACCAUUUGUUGAAAAAAAUUGUCCUUUCCCCACUGAAUGGUCUUGGCACCCGUGUCAAGAAUCAUUUGACUAUCUGUGUGAGGGUCUGUCUCUGGGCUCUCUAUUCCAUGAAUCUGUGUAUCAGUGUUUAUGUGUUAAUUACUAUAGCUUUGUAAGCCUUAAAAUCAAGAAGUGUGAAACCUUCAACUUUGGUCUUUUUCAAGGUUGUCUUUGCUAUUCGGAGUCCCUUGAGAUUCCGUUUAAAUUUUAAGAUGGGAUUUUCUAUUUGUGCAGUUUUUUGACUUACAGAGUUCUUCCAAUCCAUCAACCCUCUUAUUCAAGUUCUUUUCCACGGUCCAUCAUUAUCACUGCCUUCCUGCAAACAUUCUCAACUCCCUUGCCCCUCUGUCUCUCUGUCACUCAAGCUUGGGUACCCCACUGUCUGCCUUCUCCCUGCCUGCACUAAUGCCCUACUGCGGUAGUAUCUCCACCCUGCCGCCGAGACUCUCCUCUGACAACGACAGCUGAUCCACAUUGAUUGCUGGCUUGGAGCCCGGCACAGUUGUAAGCACUUUAUAUGAACCACUCAUUUAAUCCUCUUAUUUCAGUAGAAUAUUUCUGGAGAAAACAGGACAGACUGUAUCACUACACAUUCAUAAUCAUUAACACAAUCAAAUACUCAGCCCUGCCCUACAAUCCUACUAUUUCUUCCAGUAAGCUGGCUUUUCCACUCUCCAAAAUGAUUAUUUCUCACCUGAGCGUUCUCCCAAGCUUCACCUCUCCACACCCCUCUCAGCAGGUGGCCUUGCUUCACAGUCCACCAGAAACACAGAAGUGGUCAGAUGGCAGCUCUGUCUACUGAGUCCACAGAUCUGUUGCCUCCACCCUUGUCUUGUCAUUCAUUCUUUUGGAGCUGGAGUCCUUGAUCCCAUCCCUUCUCAGUCUCUCAACAAUUUUAUUCCCUUUGCUGUUUCCUCUCUCACCCUCUUCAACCUCUCUAUCUAUUGCGUACAAAUGCGGUGGAGUGUUUACCACCACCACAAAAAAAAAGAGAAACAAACACCUCCCUUGAUUUCACAUCUUCCUCUGGCUUAACAUGUCCAAAGCAGCUUCUCUUUGUCUUUCCUUCUCCAAACCUCAUUUUCCCAGUGAUCGCCAUCUUGGUGAAUGGCACCUUCAACUACCCAUGUGCUCCAUCUGGAAACUUGGGAACCCAUCUUGACACUCGCCCCCCUCUACCUCCCCGACAUUCAUGCCAUGGCGAAAUCCUGAAGAUUCUACCUUCACAUUAUAUCUUGCAUCCAUCCACUUCCCUCCAUCCUCGCUGCCACCUGCCAGUCCAAGCCACUACCAUCUCUUUCCUGCACUCUUUUCGUCACGAUGUGGGGAAAGGAGAAACUGGAGGAGCAGGAAGGCCCUCAUCUGAAGGGCUGUUAACCCUGGGGCUGCAGGGCCUGCUCGAUAUUCGUCAAGACACCCACCUCCUCCUGCCCCCACACGCGGGAUUGUUAGUUUGCUAUUUCUCCAGGGAUGGUAACGCCUGGAAUAGCUGGAGAAAAUGUGUCUGAAUAAAUGAUUCCCAC
ensembl:lncRNA